rnacentral:lncRNA from 1 species
UUUCCUUAUGCCUGUGAUCUCAGUGGCUCGGGAGGCUGAGGCAGGAGGAUCGUGAGUUCAAAGGCAGCCUCAGCAAUGGCAAAGUGCUGAGCAACUUAGUGAGAUCCUGUUUCUAAAUAAAAUACAAAUAGGGCUGGGGAUGUGGCUCAGUGGUUGAGGUUCAAUCCUCAAAAAAAAAAAAAGGAUUCCCUUUUUCUCACAUCCAUGCCAAUAUUUAUUAUGUCCUUUCUUUCUGAUAAUAGCCAACUUAAGUAUUAUGAGGUAGUGUCUUCAUGGUUCUGAUUUACAUUUCCCUAAUGAUUAGUGAUGUGGAGCAACUUUUCAUGUGCCUGUAAGCCAUUUGUAUGGCAUCUUUGGAAGAAUAUUUAUUGAGGUCCUUUGCCCAUUUUUAAUAGGAUUUUUGCUGUUGAGUUUUAAGAGGUCUUAGUAUAUUAUAGAUAUUAACCCCUUGUCAGAUAUGAUUUGCAAAUAUUUUGUCCCAUUAUGCUUUUUGUUGAUUUUUUGCUGUGCAGAAGCUUUUUGGUUUGAUAUGUACUUCCACUUGUUUGCUUUUGUUGCCUGUGCUUUUGGUAUCUAUCUAAACAAUCAUUGCCAACACUAGUAUCAAGAAGCAUAUUCUUUUUUUUUUAAGUUGUAGUUGGACAUAAUAGCUUUAUUUAUUUAUUUUUUCCAGUACAUAAACAUGCCACAGCUGCAGACAGCUAAGGAUCAAAUCCAGGGCCUCACACGUGGUAGGUGAACACUCUACCACUAAGCCAAAACCCCAGCCCCAAGAAGCAUAUUCUUUAUAUGUUUUAUACAUAUGUACAAUAG